AUCGGGUGAGCCUGUUGUUAAAUGUGCCAUCGGGGUGUGUGUGAAGAUGGAGUCAAAUGGUACCUGGAUUGACCAAACGUGUUCUUCUCUAAACGAUUUUGUUUGUUUUGCUGGACCUCUAACAGAUAAAUUAUACCAUCUCGUCCAACUGAACCUGACGUGGGAGGCCGCCAGAGACCAUUGCCAAUUGUAUUACUAUGACCUCGCUGUGAUUGAGUCUGCCGAGGAGAACGAAGAGGUUUUGUCCACAUUAAAUACAUUAACUACUUCUGCAUGGAUCGGUUUAUACAGAGAGCCGUGGGUCUUGUCUGAUGGGUGCAAAGACGUUCUAAUUUACUGGUCUCCAGAACCAGAAGAGCCUUCAGAAUUAGAAAUAACUCCAGAAUCAGAUAAGCAUCCUCCCAGUGGCCCUCAAAGUAAAAUUGAGGAACCCACAGCCGACAAUUUGGCGCAAUGCGCCAAAUUGGUUUCGGGCGGAUUAAGUGACCACGACUGUGAGGAUGUGCACCCAUUUAUAUGCAAUAGAGAUGUCUGCACAUCUAGCCAGCACCGGAAUGACUGACUUCCACCUGAGCUGGAGCACUCCGCCACAGAAACCUGAUCCAACUGUCUGGAAGGCUGAUAAGGACCAAUGUUAAUGUUAGGUUCACAUAGUUGCAUGGCUUGAUCACUGACUCCCGAUUCUUGAGUAGUAAAACUAUAUUUUAGUUUGAGAAAUGUAUUAAAAAGUAUGAUGGUGGUUAAUUCAUACAUUACUUUGAAAAACUAUAAAAUAAUAGCUGUUCUUUCGUUGACAACGGUGCAAAAUGUAGGGCUAUAUCCCUGUGUACUGUACACUGUAACAUUUAUAUUGAUAUGUAUUAUUGGAAGCAUAUAUCUUGUGUGGCUAUUUGGUAAUUUUUAAGACAGGACGGCCCUGUCUUAAAAUUUUAAAGUUAACUUUUUUUCACUAAACUCUUUACAAGCAAAUUACCAUAGAACGCAACCUCGUAUAAUUUAAACUUCUUAAGUUGUUGUUGCCCAACUGUGAGUAUAUCAGCAUAGUUUAGAUUGUAGUUGUUAGCUGCAGUUCAAGUUUGACGUGAGAAAAAAAUGUCAUCACAUGUGUGGCAUGUGGUCACAACCAUGUAUGCAUCUUCAUUCUCAGAACCCAUCAUCCAAGGGAAAGCGCUGCAUAAUGAGCAGAGUUGUAGUUCAUGCUCAAGGCCCUAUGGAGAGCAGUCAAGACCAUGUCACUGAGUCUUGGUUGAUGCUUGAGAGAACAGAUUCUAAUGGCUCCGUUGAAUUGUCAAAUAUGUUGUCAUAAAUACAUAAUCUUAAAUGUUAUAAAACUUUAUUAUUUACUUGAACUAAAUCAUAGAUGGAAACAUGUAUUAUGAUAUAAAAUGUAAUUUGAUACAAUUUGUUCUAAGAUAUAACAUGUAAU
ensembl:lncRNA